GUCUAUGGCUAUACCUCCCUGAUAUUGGAAGCUAAGUACGGUUGGGCCGGGUAAGUACUUUGAUGGAAAACCACCUGGAAAUAUUGAGUUCAGUAGGCU
ensembl:rRNA 5S_rRNA 5S ribosomal RNA